ACGAACGCUGGCGGCGUGCUUAACACAUGCAAGUCGAACGGAAAGGCCCUGCUUUUGUGGGGUGCUCGAGUGGCGAACGGGUGAGUAACACGUGAGUAACCUGCCCUUGACUUUUGGAUAACUUCAGGAAACUGGGGCUAAUACCGGAUAGGAGCUCCUGCUGCAUGGUUGGGGUUGGAAAGUUUCGGCGGUUGGGGAUGGACUCGCGGCUUAUCAGCUUGUUGGUGGGGUAGUGGCUUACCAAGGCUUUGACGGGUAGCCGGCCUGAGAGGGUGACCGGCCACAUUGGGACUGAGAUACGGCCCAGACUCCUACGGGAGGCAGCAGUGGGGAAUAUUGCACAAUGGGCGGAAGCCUGAUGCAGCAACGCCGCGUGCGGGAUGACGGCCUUCGGGUUGUAAACCGCUUUCGCCUGUGACGAAGCGUGAGUGACGGUAAUGGGUAAAGAAGCACCGGCUAACUACGUG
rnacentral:rRNA from 1 species